rnacentral:rRNA from 1 species
AUGAACGCUGACAGAAUGCUUAACACAUGCCAGUCAACUUGAAUUUGGGUUUUUAACUUAGGUUUGGGUGGCGGACGGGUGAGUAACGCGUAAAGAACUUGCCUCACAGCUAGGGACAACAUUUGGAAACGAAUGCUAAUACCUAAUAUUAUGAUAAUAGGGCAUCCUAUAAUUAUGAAAGCUAUAAGCGCUGUGAGAGAGCUUUGCGUCCCAUUAGCUAGUUGGAGAGGUAACGGCUCACCAAGGCGAUGAUGGGUAGCCGGCCUGAGAGGGUGAUCGGCCACAAGGGGACUGAGACACGGCCCUUACUCCUACGGGAGGCAGCAGUGGGGAAUAUUGGACAAUGGACCAAGAGUCUGAUCCAGCAAUUCUGUGUGCACGAUGAAGUUUUUCGGAAUGUAAAGUGCUUUCAGUUGGGAAGAAAGAAAUGACGGUACCAACAGAAGAAGUGACGGCUAAAUACGUG